AGGCGGUUAGUUUAAUGGCAAAAUAAUGGUCUCCAACACCAAAGAUAGAGGUUCGACUCCUUUACUGCCUG
rnacentral:tRNA from 1 species